UAUUACACCUUAUUCGCAGGUCAUUAGUGCAGAAUGUGUUGAUGGCCCUGCUACAGUAUUAACUCGUGAGCAUUAUGAGGAAUACUUGGCUGCUUUUCCUAAUGCUUUAUCAGCUAGAAUACAUUUGUGCUUUAGGCAGUUCAGAAGCAAUAAAGUAAAGCCCUUUGAUUUGAGUAGAUUGCGUGGGUACUUUGAUCAACAAAUUAUCUCUUGUCUGAAUUCCAAACCAUUUCCUGGGCCUGACUCUAUAGGCUUAGGCUAUGGCCUAACGGGUGAACAAGAUGAAGAAUUGAGUCCAGAUGAGAAUGUGAAGUUGGGAGCCAAGAGGACC
rnacentral:misc_RNA from 1 species